rnacentral:lncRNA from 1 species
CACAUGGAUGGGGUCAGCCUUAUUCAGUGUUGAAUUCUGUGCUCUGUGGUGUAAUGUUCUUAGGAUUCAUGCACUACAUUUACCCAUGUUUCUGGUACUUUGAAUUGUGUCACUGGAGAAGCUGUCUGAUUCUCUGAACAUGACGCAAGCCUUGCUGUCACCACCACCGUGAAGGUCAGAUACAGCACCCAAGGCCCUUGCGCCUCUGCCACCGCUGUGAGAAGUACAUAUCCUGGCCAGCCUGCUGACUCAGGAGGUUGAGAAUCAGGUGCAGCAGACCAGAGCACUGCUUCAGUGUCAGGGUAGAGCUGCUCCAUGACCCAGAGAUUCAUACGAGCCAUCCCACCACACUCGUCCCACCUGGCUUGUGUCAAUGUUCCAUUACUGUUCACCGGCUGCCCACGCACCUCCAGCUCCACAUCAGGGGACAGCACCUGACAGAUGCCUGCCUUGGAGGCUGGGGCUGCCACAACAAAGAACCACAGCCUGGGGGCUUAAACACAGACGUGCAUUUCCUCACAGUGCUGGAGGCUGGAAGUCCAAGAUCAAGUGUGUCCUAGAGUGCAUGAAAGAAGCUGGAGAAAAAUCACCAUGGAGUUUAUCCUGGUUUUGCCUCUCAUGGAAAGAAGAGAGACAACUGAAGCCUCAAUCCAGAAACAGGUAAAUGUAUUACCUGCUUCAAACUGAUGGAUGGACAGACAGAAAGAGCAGCAAACCAACAAGCCUCCAGCUCUCAGGCCUCUCACCUCUGGCCUUGCAUUUUCUUAAGUGUGGGUCAGCGUUAUAAGGAAAUCAGACAAAAAUACAGGAGAUGGAGUUUUGCUCUGUCACCCAGGCUGGAGGGCAAUG